ensembl:lncRNA
UCUUGAGCCGGGGCGUUACAGCUGAGGUGAGGUGUUGUAGAGGUCAGAGGUCGUAGGUGAGGUGAGGUGAGGUGUGGUGAGGUGAGGUGAGGUGAGGUGAGGUGAGGUGUUGUAGAGGUCAGAGGUCGUAGGUAAGGUGUUGUAGAGGUGAGAUCAGAGGUCGUAGGUGAGGUGAGGUGAGGUGAGGUGUUGUAGAGGUCAGAGGUCGUAGGUGAGGAGAGGUGAGGUGAGGUGAGAUGAGGUGAGAGGUCAGAGGUCGUGAGGUGAGAGGUCAGAGGUUGUGAGGUGAGGUGAGGUGAGGUAGAGUAGUUGAGUACGGUGAAGGACCAUGAGAGUAGAAUUUGUGUGUGUGUGUGAGAGAGUAUGUAAGUGUGUGUGUGUGUGAGAGAGAGAGUAUGUAAGUGUGUGUGUGUGAGUGUGUGUGUGUGUGUGUGUGUGGGUGUGUCAGAGUUAGUCCAGGCAAAA